ensembl:lncRNA
AUCCUGGAAGAGGCUUUGUUAAAAACAUUUCUUAAGAUACUUAUUCAGAUCAGUCUUUAAAUAAUUUGAGAAAAAUGACCAAGGUUUUCUUUUUUAAAGUAGAUUCCAAAAUCUAAAUGGAUAUACUUUGGGAGGACAGUUAUUCAUUCAUGUAUAUGAAGGAAGACAGAUCUUGUUUUCCUUAUAAGGAUGAACUCUAAGUAUUAAAGGGAAAAGUCUGUGAUCCUUUUUUUAACACAAAAGUAAGAUUCAAGGUUCUUGUUAAAUUUUGCCUUUAUAUACUCAUUACAAAAUUCCAUUUUAUUUAAGUAUAUAAAAAAGUCCAUUUAUCAGAAGAGCUAUUUUAAAUGAGAAGGAAAAACUGUAACUAUGGUUGUCAAUCUGCUGGGCAGAUAUUCUUCAUAAUUUUUGAAAAGAAUGUAAAAUAGUCCUUGACUACGAAUAUUGGAAUGAGGCGUUUUUUCCUUUAGAAUUCUCCAUUUGGAGAAUGGGAUCACUGUGAGUGUAGCCUUGAUAGAAUCUGGGUUUUAGUCCCACUUACCCAAUAAGCUUCAGAGCCUCAGAAAUGUGAGUUCUUCUCUUAGUCACCUCCCCGGGUGUUUCACCACGGUGUAUGGUGAGGACAGUCACCCACCGACAAAUCACAUUUGUGUUAAGGUAUUUUAAGCUGGACUUGUGCCUUAUUUUAACAUACAGAAUCAGCUCUGAUAGUCCACGUUAAAAACAAAAACUCAGCAAGUAUUCCUAUUUCAAACUGUUAACAUUUUGAGUAUUCAAACUCUGCUCUGAGACUAGACUUGCCUGUAUCACGGUGGCUGUAUGGAGAAUGAAGGGACAUUAAGGAAUUAUUCAGCCAAGAUUCUGUCACGAAAAAAAAAAAAGCCUUUUAAAGCUGCUUAAACUAAAACAUGCUCUAAGUACAGAACCACUGUACCAUCUUUCUCUGCUGUUACACGACGUGCAAGAAUGCUGCUGUCUAGGAGACCUGCUCUUAAAGGACAGACUCAGAGGCUCUGAGAAGCCGGGUGUUCUCGUCCAGCUGGCUGUCCAGCACCCUCUGCUCCCUUGUACCCAGGCAGCGAGGCUUGGUGCUGAACGCGGCCCCUCGGGACCACCCGGGACCAGUCUCCACUCUGUUCAGGAUGAACUGAGCAUGUGGACGCCUGUCGAUGGCAAGGAGUUCUGCUCUCUUUACCCUGAUAACAGCAUUCUCUGCAAACACUUCCCCUGCACCCCACACACUCGAAAGCUGUCUGUGACAGUGCUGCUGUGGAGUCUGUGCUUGUAUCUAACAGACGAGACCCAGGAAUGCUAAUGAAUUCAUUGUUUCUGAAGUAAGGUGAAGAGGAAAAAAAACUGUGACUGUUGUCAUAAUUAGUAGAUCUUCCUUCUUUUUCUAGAAUAUCUGGAUUUUCAGGAAAAGAUUAUUUUCACGAAAAAAUUUUCUAAUGUGAAUUCCAUUUUGUUUCACAUACAAGAUCUUGAUUCUGGCUGGAUAGCUGUAGAUCAGAACAUAAAGGAUGUAAAAUGAACCCCAAACCUAAUUCCCCCAAAGCAUUUCUUCAUAUAGGAGAUGGUUUUUUACAAACUCUGUCAGCACUGAUGUCCUUCCUCUGUCUAGCCCAGGAAUUUGUUAGUAUCUGUUUCUUAAGUCUUGUUUAAGAGGCAGAGUUCUUUUGAGCAAAUCAGUCAAUGUUUUGAUUUGGUCAAGAUAGGGAAUUAUGUGUAUUUAGAAAGAAGCAUAUUUUAUCUUGAAAAUAAUAUAGGAUUUUGUGCAAUAUUUUUUUUCUUGCAUAAUUUAGUUCAUAUAAAUAUGCACAUCUGCUUUUCAAGCAGAUGCCUUAAGGUCAUGUUUUUCAGUAUUUGUGUAGAAUUGUAUGUAGCAAUGUUCCAGGUGAUUUUAGGGGGAAAAAAAAACUUUUUACUGUUGGCAGGAAAAAUGUUUUUAUUUAAAAUAAUUAUGAAUAUUGCAUUAUUGUAUCAUAACUAACUGCCUCAGCAACAAUGAAUAUGCAAUAAGAGAAUCCUGAACCUUAGAUUAGUAUUGACAGUAGUGUUACUUUGAAAGAAGUGUAUAUAGUGCAAAACGCUGAUUCUUCAUUUGUACGUUUCACACAUGCUCAGUUCUGUACCACGUAAAUUGAGAUGGCAUUUGUACGGUGAUGACAAACCAUUAUGUCGACUGUAAUAUCCUUUGUGAUGCAUCUCUGGUAAGAUUUAUAAAGGGCAUUGCCAAUACUUUUUGACUGUAAAUUAAGUUAAUUUUUGUAUAAUGUACAGUUUGUUUAACCUUAGAGCUUCUAUAGAUUUCUACUUUUUAUUAUACUUGAAUGAGGCAGAAAAGCACUGUGGAAAAUCUGUAGCUCUGGAUGUGACUUGCAAACAUACCAAAAAAACAGAAUAAGGUACUGAACUGAACAGCAAACUUAAGCAGACGCUUUCUAUCCAGAAAGCUAUGUUUUUCAAACCAGACUUAAAUGAAGUAAUUUCAACUAUAGUAGUCUUUUAUCAUAAAAGAUUGCUAAGUCACAAAUGAUUACCUCUUUGAUACGAGAAACCUCUGAGCCUCUUCGCCUCUGUGUUACUCCAUGUCUCAGAAGAGAGCCCUGCUGAGGUACGUUGACACCUCUGCCCUUUGCUAUAUUAUAUAACUUCCAGGACAAAAUUUGACUCUGCAUCCUGGGUUCACUGUGUGUGUCGAGUCACCAUCCUUCAGAUGGUCUAGUUUCCACGUGGUUACUCUGAGAACCACUGAAUAAUCAUAUACCAAAAAUGAGAUUUCUUGAAUCUGUUCCAAUUUAGUACUUAGAGCAAACAAAUGUGAACUGCAUGACAUCUACAUUUUAAAAUGCAUGAAGCUUUUUACACAAAAGGUACAUGUGAGGUUAAAAACUGAACUUUUCCAAAGCUUAUUUCUCUUGCUUUAAACGAAUAACUGUCUGGAAGGACUGAAACGCUUGAGCCUUGUUUAGAUGUGAUGACGUACCUGAACACACCUGCCCAUCAUCGAGACCUUGCAUCCUUGAGGCUACAGGAUAAAUCAUCUCUGACACUGACUACUGUCGGGAGGACGCUGUGUGUAAAAGUAUUGUUUGGGGGAUUUAAAAAUGUAUGCAAAAGUCAAUAUUGGAUGAACAACACAUUACCAUGAAGUGCCCAACAAUGCAGGUUGAAAAUAAAGUUGGUCAUAAUCAAACCCGCCCGGGGGUG